AAUCGAUGAUCCUCGAUAUACCUCACCAUUUUUUGCUUUUUCAGCCUGUAUACCUCCGUCGCAAACCUACCACCUGAGUGUCCCAAAGUAAGUUCAACUGGGCCCCAACACGCCAAUACGUCAGGUCAAGGUGCAGCCCAUAAAAUGGGAAGCAAUGGGCUACAAUUUCUAAAAUAGAACAAACAUAAAACUACAUGAAACAUAGUCAUAAGGCGGAUUUAGUAGUAAAAGAAGAACAGCAAGCUUCUUUUAACAGGGCCCUGGGACGUGUACAAACCGCCCGUCACCCUCUUCAACAGCACCCAUCUAGCUAUAUAACAUCUUCUUAGCACCCUAGAAGAGGCAAGUCGUAACAUGGUAAGUGUACUGGAAAGUGCACUUGGAAAACAAAGUAUAGCUUAAUUAAAGCAUUUCGCUUACACCGAAGAAACAUCUGUUAAACUCAGUUUACUUUGAGCCCUAAAUCUAGCC
rnacentral:rRNA from 1 species